GCCCAGUGAUGAGACCAAGGUGAAUGUUAGCCCAUUGAAUUAGAGUCUGAACUCUACUGUAUUCCCAUUGGCUGGUAAUCUUUGCUGAACAGUGAAGAUUUGCUGUCUUGCUGUAAGGGCCAGCCUACAUUCAACAAGCUCUUCCCUUUUGAAUUUUUAUCCUUUCAAGAAAUUGGAAAAGAGACCGAGGGGUGGGUGGGUGGGUGGGUGUGCGUGUGGUUGUGUGAAGGAUCAUGGGGUGCGUCUCAGUUCUCUGUAGUAAUUCUGUGGACACUACUCUCUCUGGUUGUCUGAGGGCA